rnacentral:lncRNA from 1 species
AUAAAAACACAGUGAAUAAAUGGUUGCCAAAUAGCAUGUAUUAGAAGCAAUGAAUACUGUAUUACUAUAAAUAAUGGUGUGACUUUUACAAUGAACCUCAAGUAUUUGACUAUCUUUUAUACAAAGUAGAAUUAUCUUUUUUUAAUCUCUGCAAGGAAAAUUGGGAUUAACAUAGAUAUAAAAGUAAUUCUCUAAUUUUGG